rnacentral:lncRNA from 1 species
CUGCAGGUUGAUUCGGUUGAAGUGGAGGUAGAGGUGUUGGAGUGACAGAGAUCGACGAUGACAUGGUGGAAUUCUGGAGAGCUUCUAAUUGUGAGAAGAAACGAUAACUCUUCCCAUCUUGAGUUCCGGCGCAAUUCUUUCUGGUACGUUUGUAGUACUUGUGCACGUUCUCGAACUUCUCUUUACACUUCUUGGAGCUUCUAGUGUAACCUUCCUCCGCCAUCAUGCUGCAGAGACACAGACGACAGAAAACAGACGAGAUUAAAAAUAAUAUUAAAAAAACACAGCAAAUCGAGCAUGUAUGCGGGUAUGGUACGGCUGUGCUUCUUCUCCGGCAAGUUGAUGCACAUCGGAUCACCCAGUCCCAUGUUGAUUUUUAAAAAAAAAAAUCACUGAAAGAAAUGGCGAAGAUGGCGGAAAUCGAGGGAAUUGGGAUUGAUGAACCGGAUCUGGAGGUCAGUUUGAACUUUCCACGGACUCCAAGAAAGACGAAUUUAUAAUUUAACGGGAAAAGGAAAUAGAGGAAAGUAAAAAAAAAAAGUGAAGAUGCCACAGAUUCCAGUUCUCGUGACUGUAGAUCUGGAGUCCGUAGAGAGAGAAAGAGAGAAAUUAAGGCGUGAAUAGUGGGGAAAAAAAUACUGGAGUGAUGACGAUCGAUUGAUCGAUCGAUCGAGGUACGAAUUUAUUCUCCAAAAUUGGGCAGUGGAUUUGAAAUGGGAGCGGUCAGUUUCCUCCGAUUCAGCGCGGUUGCAGUAUAGAUCCGUGAAUUGGACAGUGAUUAAGCAGACAUGCAGAUAGAUAGAUGUAGAGUGAGUGUUGUAGUGAGAGAGAUCCACAUUUCUGUACUUGUGUACUAGUGAAAAAAACCUGCAAUUCUAGUCGAUAUGGUAAUGGUGAUAUCUGAUAUAGUAUGACGACGAUUGAUGACGGAAGACGACGAC